CACCGGGCCGCUCGGAGGCAGCCGCCCGCAGGUCCGCGCACGGGCGCAGUCCCUAAAGGACGUGUUGAGCUGAUCUCAUCGGGGGUAGUCCUGGUGCAGGCAGGACAGCAUCCAGACCCACAGCACACCAGGGCUUCUGCCAGAGGAAGAGUUGUGGUUGUUGCUGCUCUGCUCAUUGUGGACGUGGGGUCUGCUGAGCUGGGACUUGGUGGUACACGAGGCUUGGGAUGCCACCGUGCUCCAUGGGAAUGUGCACCCUGUGCUGACCCCCCUCGCUGCAGAGGACACCCCGAGGGACAGCGGGAGGUGGGUGCUCCCUGCCCUGGCUCUGGAUGUGCACUGCAUCAG